rnacentral:lncRNA from 1 species
UUAGAGAAGAAGAUAUGCAGUAAAAACGAAAUUGGAAAAGAAAACAUUAACAUAAAAAUGAGAAAAUGAAAAAUAAAGGGCAUAAGACAGGAGAGAUUAGAGAAAAAAUGGUGAGGUGUACCUCGGGAAGAAGAUGAGAAGAAGGUGCAAUAAUGCUAUGAAAGAUUUGAGAAAGCUAAAAUUGAAACCAUAAGUGCGAAGAAGAGAAAAUUG